AUUGAACGCUGGCGGCAGGCCUAACACAUGCAAGUCGAACGAGUGGCGGACGGGUGAGUAAUGUCUGGGAAUCUGCCUGAUGGAGGGGGAUAACUACUGGAAACGGUAGCUAAUACCGCAUACUAUCAGAUGUGCCCAUAUGGGCUUAGCUGGUAGGUGGGGUAAAGGCUCACCAAGGCGACGAUCCCUAGCUGGUCUGAGAGGAUGACCAGCCACACUGGAACUGAGACACGGCCCAGACUCCUACGGGAGGCAGCAGUGGGGAAUAUUGCACAAUGGGCGCAAGCCUGAUGCAGCCAUGCCGCGUGUAUGAAGAAGGCCUUCGGGUUGUAAAGUACUUUCAGUGGGGAGGCGUUACCGACAGAAGAAGCACCGGCUAACUCCGUGCCAGCAGCCGCGGUAAUAC
rnacentral:rRNA from 1 species